AUUGAGACCAUUACCGCCAACUGAGGACGGUCUCAUUUGGCAUUUUUUUAAGGUAGUCUCAAAGUUCGUUUUAUGACUUGAAACGAAAAAUAAAAUCAUAAAAAUGGACUGCCCUCAGUUGGAGGUCAGAAGGGUCAAGUGUAUGGGAAGUGCGUGACCGUCCGUAAAUUUCCAUUUUUUGCCUCUGUUUUGGUCACACUCUGGACAGUGGUCUCGAUUGGCUGUGUUACACGCAUCAUCAACUGAACAUUGCCAUGAUGUGAAUACUGUUGAUACUGAUGAUGUGGAUGCUGAUGAUGUGGAUGAUGAUAAUGUGGAUGCCUCCGGACUGAAAUAGCUGGACAGUGCCAUGAUGUGAAUACUGAUGAUACUGAUGAUGAGGAUGCUGAUGAUGUGGAUGCUGAUGAUGUGGAUGCCUCCGUUGAUCAACCAGUGACUGAAAUAGCUGGACAGUGCCAUGAUGUGAAUACUGUUGAUACUGAUGAUGUGGAUGUUGAUAAUGCUGAUGCCUCCGUUGAUCAACCAGGGACUGAAAUAGGUCAACUCGAAGCAGUCCUAAAUGCUGGGAUUGGCACAAACCAUGAAAAACGAACAGCCACAGUCAGAACACCUUGGAGCUAGGCUGAAGAAGACGUGGUAGAAAAUGGCCUUAAAAAGUGUUUUAAGCUUAAUACUCCACCAAAAAUAAGUUAGAUUGUCUUGAACUUAUAAAGAAGUAUCCAAUUCUUGCCAGGCGAUCAAGGACAAUGGUGAAAGGGUAUAUUAGAACAAGGCAACUGGCCUUGCAAUAGGCUCAUCAAAAAGCAAACAAUUAAACAAAUAGAUACUUUAAAUUAUAGAAUAGACUAGAUUGCAUUUUGAUUUAAGCUUUAUAUCUGAAUACAAUCAGUGAUUGACAUUUUCUUUGGAUGUUGUUCUAUUUUUAUUUAUUUUUUAACAAUUAAAAAUUUGAAAUUAAAUAUGGUAAUAACUUGUCCUCAAUUGGAGGUGAUUUUGCUCGAAUUGUCCAUGAUGUUUGUGGUCAUUUACACUGCAGUGUAUUCAAUUGUUUUUUUGUUCCAUGGUAAAUAAUUGUGUGUGGUAUUGUUUUGUAUUGAAUGCUUCUGUCACUUCUCAGUGAUGUGAUGUUUUUCGUGUUGUUGGAUAAAUUGAUGAAAUGCAAAUGAAAUAUCAUCAUGUAUGAACAUGUCAAACAAAAAUGUAUUAAUUUUCUUCUGUUUGCUAUCAAAACGUUAAGUAUUUGUUUGGUUGAAUUGUAUCUAGAGCCAAUGAAUGAAGAUUUGUUAAUUACUGAAAUUUGAUAUGCAUUAAUUUUUGUAAAAAAAAAAAUUCAGAAAAAAGUAUCUUGGUAUUGUGAUAUGCCUUGGCACCUGUCAGGGCUGUGGGCAUCAUGCAGUCUUUUACCUAGGACAGUAACUAAAUCACUUCAUAUUUAGAUAAAACUUGGUUAAUAUGUUGCCAGGGACAAUAUGCAUGUGUACAUCAAGGGGCAUAACUCUGGCUUUAGUUUGUAUUGAGUUAUGCCUCAUUUUCGAAGGAGAAAAAAACAGACGAGCGCUGGUGUUCUCUUCAUGGCGCUCUUGUUGACCUUGGCAAGAUCAAGGUUCAAUGUUGAAAUAAGAUAUGCCUUAGUUUAGACUUUAAUAGCUUUAAUAGUGAUUGUUGUGUAAAGUGGACUUUCAACAUAUUUUAUCAUAUAAAUAGAAGUAUGAAUUCUGCUCUUUGGAGCUAAAAAUUAUCUACUUUCCGGCUGUUGAUAAUUAUGUACUUAUUUCACAUAUCCGAGCAUGGUAUGUAUCCGAGGUUCUUUUGACAUGUAUUUGUAUCCAUUUGUCUACAUAAUACUGAUUACUUAGUAUUGAUAUAUUCGUAUUUAAUACCUGUCCUGUAAUGAUCAGCUAUAUAAAUAUAUCCAUCCUUCUGAAGUUUCUGUUAAUUGACACUUAACUAUUACAGUA